AUUGAACGCUGGCGGCAGGCCUAACACAUGCAAGUCGAACGAGUGGCGGACGGGUGAGUAAUGUCUGGGAAACUGCCUGAUGGAGGGGGAUAACUACUGGAAACGGUAGCUAAUACCGCAUACCAUCAGAUGUGCCCAGAUGGGAUUAGCUAGUUGGUGGGGUAACGGCUCACCAAGGCGACGCUCCCUAGCUGGUCUGCGAGGAUGACCAGCCAAACUGGAACUGAGACACGGUCCAGACUCCGACGGGAGGCAGCGGUGGGGAAUAUUGCACAAGGGGGGAAAGCCUGAUGCAGCCAUGCCGCGUGUAUGACGAAGGCCUUCGGGUUGUAAAGUACUUUCAGCGGGGGGGCGUUACCCGCAGAAGAAGCACCGGCUAACUCCGUGCCAGCAGCCGCGGUAAUAC
rnacentral:rRNA from 1 species